GUGAUUUGCUCCUUGUUUAGUGGAACUUGAGGCUGGUCAAGACAUUGUUGUUUGCAGGGUCAGCCAAAUGGUCAAGGAGGUUUUGGUAAGGUCCAACUCCAGUUACCAAACCUUGAAUGAAGUAACCUAAGAUACCCAACAUAGCUAGUCUUCCAUUCUUAAUCUCCUUUAGCUUUAAGUCCUUCAUAGACUUCUCAUCUUUUCCGAA
rnacentral:misc_RNA from 1 species